rnacentral:tRNA from 1 species
GUUUUCAUAGUUUAACAAAAACCUUGUAUUUUCAUUACAAAAAUGGAGAAUUCCUGAAAAUU